GAUGAACGCUGGCGGCGUGCUUAACACAUGCAAGUCGAACGAAGCAUUUACGACAGAUUUCUUCGGAUUGAAGUUGUUUAUGACUGAGUGGCGGACGGGUGAGUAACGCGUGGGUAACCUGCCUUGUACUGGGGGAUAGCAGCUGGAAACGGCUGGUAAUACCGCAUAAGCGCACAAUGUUGCAUGACAUGGUGUGAAAAACUCCGGUGGUAUAAGAUGGACCCGCGUCUGAUUAGCUAGUUGGUGAGAUAACAGCCCACCAAGGCGCCGAGCCGUGGCCGACCUGAGAGGGUGACCGGCAACAUUGGGACUGAGACACGGCCCAGACUCCUACGGGGGGCAGCAGUGGGGAAUAUUGCACAAUGGAGGAAACUCUGAUGCAGCGACGCCGCGUGAGUGAAGAAGUAAUUCGUUAUGUAAAGCUCUAUCAGCAGGGAAGAUAGUGACGGUACCUGACUAAGAAGCUCCGGCUAAAUACGUGCCAGCCGCCGCGGUAA
rnacentral:rRNA from 1 species